rnacentral:rRNA from 1 species
GGUCGACGAUUCCUACGGGAGGCAGCAGUGGGGAAUAUUCGGACAAUGGGCGAAAGCCUGAUCCAGCAAUGCCGCGUGGGUGAUGAAGGUCUUCGGAUUGUAAAGCUCUUUCGACGGGGAAGAUAAUGACGGUACCCGUAGAAGAAGCGCCGGCUAACUUCGUGCCAGCAGCCGCGGUAAUACGAAGGGGGCUAGCGUUGUUCGGAUUUACUGGGCGUAAAGCGUGCGUAGGCGGCUUAUCAAGUCAGAAGUGAAAGCCCGGGGCUCAACUCCGGAACUGCUUUUGAGACUGGUAGGCUGGAGUUCGGGAGAGGGUAGUGGAAUUCCCAGUGUAGAGGUGAAAUUCGUAGAUAUUGGGAAGAACACCGGUGGCGAAGGCGGCUGCCUGGCCCGAAACUGACGCUGAGGCACGAAAGCGUGGGGAGCAAACAGGAUUAGAUACCCUGGUAGUCCACGCCGUAAACGAUGAGUGCUGGACGUUGGGAUACUUAGUAUCGCAGUGUCGUAGCUAACGCGUUAAGCACUCCGCCUGGGGAGUACGGCCGCAAGGUUAAAACUCAAAGGAAUUGACGGAAUCUCUAGA